rfam:Gallus gallus breed Red Jungle fowl, inbred line TCD001 Contig4829.1, whole genome shotgun sequence. [11-NOV-2016]
CGACCUCAGGUCAGACGUGGCGACCCGCUGAAUUUAAGCAUAUUAGUCAGCGGAGGAAAAGAAACUAACGAGGAUUCCCUCAGUAACGGCGAGUGAAGAGGAAGAGCCCAGCGCCGAAUCCCCGCCCCGCGUGGGGCGCGGAGGUGUGGCGUACGGAAGCCCCCAUCCCCGGCGCCGCUCUCGGGGGCCCAAGUCCUUCUGAUCGAGGCCCAGCCCGCGACGGUGUGAGGCCGGUAGCGGCCCCCCCGGCGCGCCGGGCCCGGGCUUCUCGGAGUCGGGUUGCUUGGGAAUGCAGCCCAAAGCGGGUGGUAAACUCCAUCUAAGGCUAAAUACCGGCACGAGACCGAUAGCCAACAAGUACCGUAAGGGAAAGUUGAAAAGAACUUUGAAGAGAGAGUUCAAGAGGGCGUGAAACCGUUAAGAGGUAAACGGGUGGGGUCCGCGCAGUCGGCCCGGAGGAUUCAACCCGGCGGGCCAAGGUCGGCCGGCGCGGGCGCCGUCGGAUCCCCGCCUCCGCCUCCCCUCCGUCCCUCCCCUUCGCCGGGGCGGGGCGGGCCCAGGGGGGCGGGCGGGCCGGGGACCGCCGCCCGGCCGGCGUCCGGCCCCCGUCGGGCGCAUUUCCUCCGCGGCGGUGCGCCGCGACCGGCUCCGGGACGGCUGGAAGGGCUGCCGGCGGCAGGUGGCCCGGCGCCGCGCGAGCGCCGCGGGCGGCCGCGGCCCGGAUCGCGCGAUCCGGCCGAGGAGAGACCGCCGCCUCCCGAGGCCCCCCGGAGGCGCGCCGGGUCCGCGCGGCGGGGGCGACGCCGCCGGCUACCCCUUCCCCCCUCUCCGUCCUCCGGGGCGCGGCCUGCCCCGCGGCUUCGCGCGGCGCCGGCGUGUGGCGCCGCCUCCAGCCCGGCGCGGCGAGGCCCCGCCGGGACCUCCCCUCGUUCGGCCGCUCCGUUCCGCGCGGCGGCACCCGCCGCCCCCGGCGCCCUGUCCCGGGCGGACGCGCUCCCGCCCCGACCCGCGCGCCGCCGGGCCGGGCUCGGCCACGCCAGGGCGCCGGUCCGCGGCGACGUCGGCUACCCACCCGACCCGUCUUGAAACACGGACCAAGGAGUCUAGCACGCGCGCGCGAGUCGGCGGCUUCGCGCGAAAGCCCGCGGCGCCAAUGAAGGUGAGGGCCGGCGCGCGCCGGCUGAGGUGGGAUCCCCGGGCGGCAGGCCGGAAGGCCCCGGGCGCACCACCGGCCCGUCUCGCCCGCCUCGCCGGGGAGGUGGAGCAUGAGCGCGCGUGCUAGGACCCGAAAGAUGGUGAACUAUGCCUGGGCAGGGCGAAGCCAGAGAAACUCUGGUGAGGUCCGUAGCGGUCCUGACGUGCAAAUCGUCGUCCGACCCGGGUAUAGGGGCGAAAGACUAAUCGAACCAUCUAGUAGGCUGGUUCCCCUCCGAAGUUUCCCUCAGGAUAGCUGGCGCUCGGGCGGCGGUGCAGUUUUACCCGGUAAAGCGAAUGAUUAGAGUCUUGGGGCCGAACGAUCUCAACCUAUUCUCAAACUUUCAAUGGGUAAGACGCCCGGCUCGCUGGCGUGGACCGGCCGUGGAAUGCGAGCGCUCAGUGGGCCACUUUGGAACAGAACUGGCGCUGGCGGGAGAACCGCGGGUUAAGCGCCCGAUGCCAGACGCCAUCAGAGCCCAGAAAAGGUGUGUUGAUUAACAGCAGGACGGGGCCAUGGAAGUCGGACCGCCAAGGAGUGUGUAACACUCACCUGCCGAACACUAGCCCUGAAAAUGGAUGGCGCUGGAGCGUCGGCCCAACCCGCCGUCGCCGCGGUGCGGACCGCGGGGCUACCCGGCGACGAGUAGGAGGCCGCUGCGGUGCGCCUGGAAGCUGGGCGCGCCGGGUGGAGCGCCGCAGGUGCAGAUCUUGGUGAGUACAACUAUUCAAACGAGAGCUUGAAGGCCGAAGUGACAGGUCCAUGUGAACACAGUGAACUGGUCAGUCGGCCAACGAUAGCGAGCGCCGUCCGAAGACGGGCGAUGGCCUCUCCGUUGCCCUCAGCGCCGUAUCGAAAGGGAUCGCCGGUUCAGAUCCCCGAAUCCGGAGCGGCAGAACACGGGGGCGCCGCGGCGGAGGCCCCAGUGCGGUAACGCAAGCGAUCCCCGGAGAAGCCGGCGGAGCCCCGGGGAGAGUUCUCUUCUUUGUGACAGGAGCCGGCCGGGCCCUGGAACGGGUUCCCCCGAGAGAGGGGGCCCGCGCCUUGGAAAGCGUCGUCGCAGUCCGGCGGCCGUCCGGUGAGCUCAUCGCUGGGCCCCGUGAAAAUCCGGGGGAGAGGGGUGUAAUCUCGCGCCGGGCCGUACCCAUAUCCGCAGCAGUCUCGCGAAGGUGGAACACGCCUCUGGCAUGUGGACCAAUGUAUGAAGGGAAGUCGGGCCAAGCCCGGAUCACGUAACUUCGGGAUAAGGAUUGGCUCUAGCAGGGCGGGUCGGUCUGGUGCUCGGGCGGCGCAGGUCCGCGGCUG